UUUGUGGUGCGGUGAAUACUUUUUACGAUCAAAACAAAUUACUUGGGUCCUUUAUUAUUAUUAUUAUUUAAGUUAUAAUUUUUUUUUGUCUUUCUUUUUUUCAAGGAAUAUUACUAUGCCUGAAAAUGAGCAAAGUCAGAACUGAAAGAGCUUCUUCAGAGCUUUGGAAGUAUCUAGCUUCUGUUCUGCUUCUACUUCUGGGGGUCUCUACUAUUGGAGUACCAAGCUUGCUGGCCCAAAAUGGUCACCAUUUGCUUCAUGGAUAACUGGCUGGUAUAUUGAGAUGAUUUAUUUGGAGCAAUUCUUGACAACAUUUGUAGUUGAGGCCUUUAGAAUGGAAGAAUGUAUUUCACUAAUUUUUGUAUACAUUUCUUGUUUUGUAUUUAGUGAUAAAGGAAUCUGAAUUGGGCAUAAAUUAUGUUGUAAUAUGAUUUCUUAAGCCUAGACUAGUAGACUAAAUAUUGUAAUUACAUUUGAGUAAUUAAUAAAAAUCUAUUUAUGUUA